GGGUACGUUUUCAAAUAGACGAUUGAGAAGGAAAAGAAGUGGGACAUCUUUGUUGCGAGGCACUUGGAAUUCUUUGUUCCUCUCAUCCUCAAGGAAAAGUUCCAAUCAGCUCUGCUCAUCAGUGGGGAAUCCCAGAAAAAAAGAAAGCCCAGGAUGACUGCAAAUCACCAGUAGGAUGCUGUCCUGAAAAACAAUGCAUGAGCUGAGGUAUUUCCAGGAGAGAUAAUGAAGUAUUAAUGCCAUUGUAAAAACACUGGUGAGUGCUCUUCUGGAAUACCGUGUACAGCUCUGAUCACCCGUGUUCAAGGAAGGUGAAUUCAAACUGGAACAGGUGCAGAGAAGGGGAAUGGAGAACAUAUUUUAUGAGAUAAGCCUUUGUAAAGAACACAUGAUUUGAUGUGUGCAACUGUAGCUAAACAUGGUAAAUCUUCACCUUCAUCUUCAUGAAGGAGUCAGCCAGCAAACUUUCUCUAAGGAGGGAUUCCACUUGCACCAAACUGCGAACUACAGAAGACAUCUAAAGACAGCGGCAUAUUACGAUCCCAAAGAUGCUUUGGGGCUCUUACAUUGAAUGGCAAUGAGCAGAGACAGUUACCACCUGCUAAAUCAGCCUUUUUCUAUGAAGACCAGCAAUAAAGGAUUCUGGCAGCCUCUCUGCUUCGAACAGUUUAUGUGAUCUCUGAUCAUUACUUUGGGAGCGCAGACCCGCAGCUCGAGUGAGACUUGUUGGAAGGGUACGUGGGGAAGUCUGGAUUGCGCACCUUGUCUAAUACGUUCUACUUUCUGGCAAUGCUGAGCGCGCGUCAUAGCUGUUCAUGAAGAGCAAAUAGAAUUUCUUCCACCAGUCUUGUUGUGUUAUGCUGCUUGUUCAUUGCCGUCGGUGCUGUUUCAUGUUGGCAAUUUCCCUCUUCAGUUUUAAAAGCCUUCUUUUGUGUGGGAAGAUAUCAACCAGGAAUUCAUAAUCCACUCUGUCAGCUGUCAUCUGAGGAAUGACUGACAUAUUUCUUUCUGAAAACCACAGCAAAGCUGUCUGUCAAUGCUGGAGUGCUACUUCGAGUGCUCUUGACCCAGGCAAGUUGCCUCUUCAAACAGGGCUUCCUUCAUUUUAUUUAGUUUUUUUCAUAUGAAAUAAAAACAUAAGAGCUACAGGGAUAUAACAGCAUUCCAGAUGUCACUGUUGCCAUGUCAAAAUGAACAAAGCAGGGAAAGUUACUGAG